UUUCUAGACCCGGUCUGGAAAAGAAACGCUCAAAUAAAGCCUGAACGCUCCUCAGGCCGAAGCUGCAGAAGUUCCGCGAGGGACGGACCCAGCACCUCCUGAGGCGGGAGAGGCAGCGAGCUCAGGGCUCAGCAGUGUACAGGAGCGAGAUGAAAUGAAACAGAAGUCACCGAAACGAUUUGGAAUCAAACAUUGCAUUAAGUGGGUCAGCUGUAAUAAUCUCAGAGCUCCAGGAUAUUUGCCGACAUCAUUAUAUCAUCACUCAGCCUCAUGAAUGGAGCUAGAAGAUGCUACAAGCACUGCCAGAAGUUGGUAGGAUCAGCCACCACCCUGAAUGAAUGCACUGGAAGCUACAGCAUCACAUCUAAUGAUGAAGAAGAAAAGUAGAAUAUGUUUCCUUUUUGCAAGACUGGGUGACAGGAGUACUUGGAAAAGCAGUGAGAAAUCUGUAAGCAAAGACAGGGAAGAUGGCUGGAAAAGGUACUGUUGGAGGCUAGAGAAAAGGUACUACAGACACACAUCUUUACCCUGGAAGCACGCUUGCAGCCUGUUUCUCCAGGUCUUCAGACUUGGGUCAUGGACUGGAAUUACACCACCAGCUUUCCUGGACCUCCAGCUUCCAGAGGCUCCGGACGCACAGGCUCAGUGGCCAUGGCUCACGGGCCCAACUGCUCCACGGUAUGUGGGAUCCUCCCGGACCGGGGCACAAACCUGUGUCCCCCGCAUC